CCUGGCUCAGAUUGAACGCUGGCGGCAUGCUUUACACAUGCAAGUCGAACGGCAGCGGGGGGCUUCGGCCUGCCGGCGAGUGGCGAACGGGUGAGUAAUGCAUCGGAACGUGCCCAUGUCGUGGGGGAUAACGUAGCGAAAGCUACGCUAAUACCGCAUACGCCCCUGAGGGGGAAAGCGGGGGAUUCUUCGGAACCUCGCGCGAUUGGAGCGGCCGAUGUCGGAUUAGCUAGUAGGUGAGGUAAAGGCUCACCUAGGCGACGAUCCGUAGCGGGUCUGAGAGGAUGAUCCGCCACACUGGGACUGAGACACGGCCCAGACUCCUACGGGAGGCAGCAGUGGGGAAUUUUGGACAAUGGGCGCAAGCCUGAUCCAGCCAUGCCGCGUGAGUGAAGAAGGCCUUCGGGUUGUAAAGCUCUUUCGGCCGGGAAGAAAUCGUGGUCUCUAACAUAGGCCAUGGAUGACGGUACCGGACUAAGAAGCACCGGCUAACUAC
rnacentral:rRNA from 1 species